rnacentral:siRNA from 1 species
AACGUUAGGGAGUCCGGAGACGUC